UCACGUUUCAGGGCUGUACAGUAAUGGUGCUUCUAACUCUGGUUUGCCAGAGAAUUGUGUUAUAAAUAGUCAUGGUAAAUCGAAACAGUCUUUCACCAUGAGUUUUCUAAAAUGGAACAGUCUAUCAGGUUACGGAGGAAAGACAAGGAUGCCACUGUGCAUUAGGGAUGUUAGUGUAUUUAAGCAUUGAGGCACCAGGGAGUUGUGGUUCAGACCCACCAAAGGUGGUUUGUUAAAAUGUAGCUGUAGUGCAUCACAGGACAGGAGGGAAAGGGAUGUGUGUGUGUGGAUGUACAUACAGGUUCACACAAGGACAACAAUCACUGGAUCCUUGAGUCAAGAGUGUUCGGCAGUGGCCAACAACAUCUGAAGAUGAAAAGGCAUGUUUACCUUCCUAAAGUGAAGGCAUCUCUGCCUGAGGACAAAAAGGGACUGAGGAGCUCCUUGAAUGCAAUUUUAAGUGAAUGCAUUGCUAAUAGAUCAGCUUCCCUGGCAAAGACUCCCCAAACGAGGGUGGUCACUGGGCAGUUGAAGUGAGGAGGUACCAGCUGGGGCAUUUUCUCACCAGUCAGUGGUCUCAGGGCCUGAGAGACCACAGCCUAACCUGAGAGAUCCCAUAAAAGAGCCUCUGCAGGAUGGCCUCCUCCUCAUGCCAGCGUAUGGGAGAUGUAAUGUGCUACCUGUGGCCAAGGGCUGUCUCCACCAAGGCCAUGAUGGCAA